UACGGGAGGCAGCAGUGGGGAAUAUUGCACAAUGGGCGCAAGCCUGAUGCAGCCAUGCCGCGUGUAUGAAGAAGGCCUUCGGGUUGUAAAGUACUUUCAGUCGUGAGGAAGGUGUUAAGGUUAAUAACCUUAGCAAUUGACGUUAGCGACAGAAGAAGCACCGGCUAACUCCGUGCCAGCAGCCGCGGUAAUACGGAGGGUGCGAGCGUUAAUCGGAAUUACUGGGCGUAAAGGGCACGCAGGCGGUUAAUUAAGUUGGAUGUGAAAUCCCCGGGCUUAACCUGGGAAUGGCAUUCAAGACUGGUUAGCUAGAGUCUUGUAGAGGGGGUAGAAUUCCAUGUGUAGCGGUGAAAUGCGUAGAGAUGUGGAGGAAUACCGGUGGCGAAGGCGGCCCCUGGACAAAGGCUGACGCUCAUGUGCGAAAGCGUGGGGAGCAAACGAGGAUUAGAUACC
rnacentral:rRNA from 1 species